rnacentral:rRNA from 1 species
UGGACAAGCCUCUGGUAGUACCAGUUGUUCCGCCAGGAGCACCGCUGGAUAGCUAUGCUUGGAAAAGGUAACCGCUGAAAGCAUCUAAGUGGGAAACUUGUCUCAAGAUUAGAUUUCUCUCUCUUUAUGAGAAUAAGACCUCCGCGAGACUAGCGGUUUGAUAGGCUUCAUGUGGAAGUCCAGCAAUGGAUUGAGCAAAGAAGUACUAAUCGGUCGAACGAGUUUGUUUC